rnacentral:snoRNA from 1 species
AUCCUUUGUAUUCAUAAGUGUGAUGAUGGGGUUUCAUAUUUAUGUGUGAGAUGUGCCUCCCUCACACCUUGUUACAAUGACAUUGGCGCAUUACCCAUCUGACA